rnacentral:misc_RNA from 1 species
UGAAUAAGCCUGGUGAAGCCACA